GGUAAUGGACAGAAGGGCGGUAGACGGUUCGUUUGGGCCCUAGGGCCAAACAUCCAAACUCCAUAUGCAUACAUGGAAGAACACGCAUAAGCUGAAAGGCAACGAAACGCUCAUGCAGAGAAAGACUGCAAACGCGAACCAUCAGCUCCAAGCCAAAAACGCUUAUUUAAAAAAGCUCGGAUCCACAACGUGGUUGGCCUCUUCGCUUCAGCAUCAUUUUCGCGCUUUGGAGUAUCACCAACAUCACGGAUUCGUGGAUUGCGCAUCGUCAUCCCUUCGUUAUCCUACGCGCAACAUACAGAAGAAAAAACGGUAUCGAAGACGAAUUGAAGAACUUACCGAAUCGAAACUCCGAUUACAAAUAGACUGUGUAGGGAACUGUUUGGAUUGAAGGGUUGCUAAUCUUUUGAAGGUUUGAAUGGUACUGUUUUGAGUUCGCGUUUGUGCUACAUGAUGCAUUUUCUGUUAGUUAUGAAGAUCACUCUAAGCCACUGUUAAUGGAUUGAUUAACCUAUUAGUUAUUUUUAACAACAUGUUAGAAAACACUUUGGCAAUUGUUUAUGCAUUAGUUAGUUGAAGUGGGAUUAAUAAUAACUGGUAAUUGGUUAAUUGUUAGAAUUAGGUUUAUUCAUGUUUCAGAAAAGGUUAAUUGUAUUGAUGAAAAACAAUUGAAUUUCCUUGUAUUGCUUUUAUGUUUAAAAAGGUGAUGUGAAUUGAAAAAUGUUCAUGGCAAUUAUGCUUGGUGAUCAUUUGUGUAAGUGAAUCUAAUGGUGUGUCAUGUAUGAUUUGCAUGACUUGUUUGGCUUGGCAUUGAGAUUUGAUCAAGGUGUGAUAUGAAGGCAUGAGUCAAAUGGAUAAGGGCUUGAAGAUCAAGAUGAGGUGGUUUGGGCAAGAAGAGAUAAUGGGGAUUAGGACUUAGGAAUAGGUGAUUGACUUUGGUCAACUGGUUGACCAAAAAGUCAAUAGUUGACCAAAGCCAACUAUAGGUUAUAGAAUAUGGUUUUCUUAACGUAAUUGUAUGAAGUUGCAUUGGGUACUUAAAAUUCACAUUCAAUGAUUUGUAAUGUGGAAAGGUUUAUUGAAGUGAAUAUAAAUCGAUUUCCUCUUGAAUGAA